UACGGAGGUCUCAACCGUUGUUCGGAUUCAUUGGGCGUAAAGGGUGCGUAGGCGGUCUGGCAAGUCGGAUGUGAAAUCUCAGGGCUCAACCCUGAAACUGCAUUCGAUACUGCUAGGCUUGAGUACUGGAGGGGAGACUGGAAUUUACGGUGUAGCAGUGAAAUGCGUAGAUAUCGUAAGGAAGACCAGUGGCGAAGGCGAGUCUCUGGACAGUUACUGACGCUGAGGCACGAAGGCCAGGGGAGCAAACGGG
rnacentral:rRNA from 1 species